rnacentral:rRNA from 1 species
AGCAGCCGCCGCGGUAAAACAGAGGGUGCGAGCGUUAAUCGGAUUUACUGGGCGUAAAGCGUGCGUAGGCGGCUUCUUAAGUCGGAUGUGAAAUCCCUGAGCUUAACUUAGGAAUUGCAUUCGAUACUGGGAAGCUAGAGUAUGGGAGAGGAUGGUAGAAUUCCAGGUGUAGCGGUGAAAUGCGUAGAGAUCUGGAGGAAUACCGAUGGCGAAGGCAGCCAUCUGGCCUAAUACUGACGCUGAGGUACGAAAGCAUGGGGAGCAAACAGGAUUAGAUACCCCAGUAGUCCCUGUCUCUUAUAC